UUGUACACACCGCCCGUCCACACCAUGAGAGUUGGAAAUACCCGAAGCCUGUGAGCUAACUUAAAGAGGCAGCAGUCGAAGGUAGAGCCAAUGAUUGGGGUGAAGUCGUAACAAGGUACC
rnacentral:rRNA from 1 species